rnacentral:rRNA from 1 species
AUUGAACGCUGGCGGCAGGCCUAACACAUGCAAGUCGAGCGGAUGAAGGGAGCUUGCUCCUGGAUUCAGCGGCGGACGGGUGAGUAAUGCCUAGGAAUCUGCCUGGUAGUGGGGGAUAACGUCCGGAAACGGGCGCUAAUACCGCAUACGUCCUGAGGGAGAAAGUGGGGGAUCUUCGGACCUCACGCUAUCAGAUGAGCCUAGGUCGGAUUAGCUAGUUGGUGGGGUAAAGGCCUACCAAGGCGACGAUCCGUAACUGGUCUGAGAGGAUGAUCAGUCACCCUGGAACUGAGAAACGGUCCAGACUCCUACGGGAGGAAGCAGUGGGGAAUAUUGGACAAUGGGCGAAAGCCUGAUCCAGCCAUGCCGCGUGUGUGAAGAAGGUCUUCGGAUUGUAAAGCACUUUAAGUUGGGAGGAAGGGCAGUAAGUUAAUACCUUGCUGUUUUGACGUUACCAACAGAAUAAGCACCGGCUAACUUCGUG